rnacentral:rRNA from 1 species
AUUGAACGCUGGCGGCAGGCCUAACACAUGCAAGUCGAGCGGAGCGGCGGACGGGUGAGUAAUGCCUAGGAAUCUGCCUGGUAGUGGGGGAUAACGUCCGGAAACGGGCGCUAAUACCGCAUACUAUCAGAUGAGCCUAGGUCGGAUUAGCUAGUGGGGGGGGUAAAGGCCUACCAAGGCGACGAUCCGUAACUGGUCUGAGAGGAUGAUCAGUCACACUGGAACUGAGAGACGGUCCAGACUACUACGGGAGGCAGCAGUGGGGAAUAUUGGACAAGUGGCGAGGGCCUGAUCCAGCCAUGCCGCGUGUGUGAAGAAGGUCUUCGGAUUGUAAAGCACUUUCAGCGGGGAGGCGUUACCCGCAGAAGAAGCACCGGCUAACUCCGUGCCAGCAGCCGCGGUAAUAC